AUCCUGAAGGAGCAUCUGGUAGAGAGCAGACGCACCUGAAGGGAUGAGCUCCGGCAUGGCUGGCGCCAACAAGGAGCAACCCGCUGGCACGAGGCGGAACAGGAUGAGCUUCUGCGAGGAUGGCCCCGCAGCGAGGCGUGCCUCCAUACCCACCUGCACCGACACCGAAGGUACACGGCUCCACAGCCACCACAGGAGCGCUGCUGCAGCCAAUCCUGGCACGCAGACGACACUUUCCAUCUGCCACCUCACUCCCGCCUGGCAGCGGGAGGGCUGCCGGGAAGCGGCAGGUGCAGAGUGUGACCUGCUUUUCCUUUGCCCUCCAGAGCGAGUUGCCGUCUGGGAUGCGGUGGCCGCCUACGUACAAGAGCACCUCCUGGUGCAGAAGGGGGUCUGGAUUCCCACCUUCGGAUCCUUUGACACCAUCUCCAGAGACAUCAGGACUGAGGACGGGACCGUGACUCUGCGGUGGCCCGUCUUUCACUUGUCUGGAAACCUCAUAGCCGUGCACCACCUCAAGCCCCGCAGGGAGUCCCUGCCAGCCCAUAGGAAGCUGGAGCCGCUCAAGAGCAGCGAGGUGGCUGCAGCUGCCUCUGUGACCUGGCAGACAGCGCAGGCUUGCAUCCAAAGCACCGUGUCCCUGCUCUCUGGCUGCCUGAAGAAUGGGGAGAACGUUGCCGUUGUCUUCAAGGACAUUGGAGUGCUCCACAUCGAUGGACUGACCUUCCACAUGAAAUUCUAUUACGACUUCCUUGAGAAGCUGUCAGGGAAAGAGAAGUUCAGGAAAGCUCUUCUCAAGGCCCCCUGGCUGCUGGACAUGGUGGUGUCCCGAGCGGCACCGGUGGCCUCCCUGGCACUCUCUGGCUGCCUCGUCGUCUUUCCCAAGUUUCAAAUGGAGUUUGUCCCCAAACCACCACCUGGGAUAUCCCGCAGGUCCUCAGGAGGCAUCCCUGCGGAGGGGAAACCAAAGGAAGAGGAGGCUUUGCCACCUCUCGCCCAGGGCAAGAAAGUGAGAUUUGCUGGCAAGCCAACUUUCAUCAAACGCUUGAGCUCGGACAGUCUAGAUGGAGGAAAACUCCGAAGGAUAAGGAGCUUACUGCGCAAGGAGAGCUCUACGUCCAGAAAUUCCCAUGAUUAUUUCCAACUCAUUUCCAGGCUGAUGGCUGCUGGUCCUGAAGAACCACAGAAUCACUAAGGUUGGAAAGACUGCUAAGAUCAUCACACCCAACCCCAGCCUACCCCACCAUGCUCACUAACCAUGUCCAUCACUGUCACAUCUCCAUGUUUCUUGAGCAUCUCCAGGGACAGUGAUUCCCCCACCUCCCUGGGCAGCCUGUGCCAGUGCCUUGGAUGGAAGGCCCUUGGACGGUGACCAAGAUGCUGGCUGUCGUGGUGGUCCUCUUUGCCCUUCUGUGGCUGCCAUACCGCACACUGGUGGUGGUGAAGUCCUUUGAGGACCCCCCCGUACCUCAACAUUUGGUUCCUCCUCUUCUGCUGGAUGUGCAUCUACCUGAACAGUGCCAUCAACCCCAUCAUCUACAGCCUGAUGUCGCAGAGAUUCAGAUCUGCCUUCAGGAAGCUCUGCAGGUGCGGAUGGAAGAGCACGGAGGUGCCCACACCACGCAGCGUCCCGGUGCUCUAUAGCAGAGCAAAGGAUGGCUCUCAGGGCAGCUCCGAGCAGGGCACCCACCAGGAUGACCUGAACGGUCCCCAUGCACCUGUGAGAAGCAGGGCUGCCAUGCACACACCGGGACCCUGACACAACGCAGGCAGCAGGAGCUGUGCGGCUGUGUGCACCACGCUGGGAAAGUGCCAACAGAAAUUGCUUGGGCAUUGCAACAAGCUUAAGUUAAUACCUCUCCAGGGCAUUUAACAGAACAGAUUCUUGGAGGCAAAAUAAUUUGCUUUUCCUUAAUGCUAAUUUAUUCUUGCGUGUUGAAGCGUUAGGCGCAGGUCAAUGUUCAGCAUCUCUAAAGAAUCUGUAGUUAAAUAUAGCAGUGCAACGCCAUUCUGUGUUAUGUGCAAGUGCAGCUGCUUGUUGAGUCAGGCCAGAGCAUGGGAAGGAAAUGCAGGAAGAGAAGGGCAGUCAAGGAAAACCUGUUGCCAGAGCAGAUUUCCUAGAGGGUGAGCUUCCCCUACCCAAACGUAGGAGGCUUCUGACAUGAGCUGCUCCUCCAGGGGUCUGUUGGAGUUAGCAGGACAAUGUGGCACUUUGUCCUCUCAUUCCAGGAAGAGAUGAAUGCACUCCUCUGGUGUGUUAUUUCCUUCCACCAACACCAAAGGGACCACUCUGCCUCUCCGAUGGAGACUCGUGCAUUACACGUGGCUGAAGCUGGGUGUCAUGAACCUCACCCCGUGCUUCUGUGCCAUUGCUGUGCCAACCAGCCCAAGGACACUUGCCCCAGGCUCACAAGCGACUCUCUGGACUGGGAGUAAAAUGUAAGAGAUCACACAGGAGGCAGAUGCCAAGGCUCCUGCCAAGCAAAACAAGAGGCAGCCACCAGUAACCCUGAAGUGACCGCACACCAUUCUUUGAGCAGCCAGUUCAGCCUCAGCAUCCACCACUGCUUCACAACAAACCAGAGCGUUUAAUCAGAACUUUACCUCUGCUUUGGAAAAGGUCUGUGUGACAUUUCAGAGCGGACACAAUCUUAAAAAACCUUUUUUGUGUCUAUGGGAAAUAACUGCCCUGGGCAAAGAGACCUCAUUCCAUGCAGGGAAGGGUUCAGGGUCUAUUUUGUUUCCGUGUGGCGUGGCUUUGCGUGUGUGAUUAUUAUAUUGUGAAUUAGUAAAUCAUCUAUUCGGGCUCAAAAUAACCAUAGGAUGAGGAAAGAGAGCACUGGUUUUGCUGGUAUUGAGGAAACAGUGUUUGUGUGGAAAUGGAGGUUUCAUAUCACAUAAUUUUGGUUUAUUUCUGAAUACUGGAUCUCGAGGAGCAAAGUUCCUCAUUAUUCGAAAGGAAGCUCUGCACAGAAAUUUCAGAGUUCCUUCGUGAAGAGAAGGGAAAUCCCUUUGCUGCAGUGCAAGAAGAGCACGACCCUUAAAGGAACGAGAAGUGAGCAAUUUGCUGCUAACGGUCUUCUCUAUCGCAGUGAUGUCUUCUCCCCUUAGUGCUGGAAAUUGCUUGCAAGAACCGUGUGCUCAGAGAGGAGAAGCGGGCUGGGGAUGUGUGCUCUGUGCAGAGCAGCAGAAAGGCAGCCCUGUCCUGCAGCCACACGGGGUGAGAAUUCAGUGCCUGAGCUGCAGAGCCCUCCUGUGAGCUGAGUUGGGGCACUGCUCGGCAAUGGGGCGCAGCCCAGCAAUGAAACAUCUCUGCAAACUCAUUUCUGUCUCCCCGUCACAUUUCCAGGCUCUGAAAUUUUUGUUCGGCAGAUUUGAGGUGCAAGUAAAACUCACUUCUCUUUUCCCCCUUCUGCCCUUAUCUGCCCAGGUACGGCGUGACUCUUUGCUAUUUCUCUAGAAGUAAUUGGCAGAUAAAUUCUCCAGAUACCACGAGACCUCUAGUAAAUGCACCAUUCUGCAGAUGAGAGCUCCUGAUCCUUCUCCCUGCACAUAUGCUGACAUGCUGGGACAGUCUGAGAGUGUUUUAGGUGGAACAGUGUUCCAUGUUUUAGGUGAAGAACAGCAUUCAGCUUGCCAGGGAGAUGCUGGUGGAGAGAAUGGGUAGCUGAACACUGCCGGGACAUAAAUCAUCAGUAGGAAGGAAUGACCAGAAAUACCUCUGAUGCUGAAGGCUCCAACUGAUGGCUCCCAGGGGAGCUUUGGCUGGAUGGAGGCUGAAGCCUCACCCCGGCCCUCCUCAUACAGGGCUGAAGGCCAGGAGGAGAUGCUCCUGCUCCCUGCAUAGACGGAUGGCGGAGUACGACUGUGCUGUCCCCGGGCUGGACAGGUCACUCUCAAAGGACAGCAGGGCUCAGAUUGCACCUUUCACCUCCCACCAGUGCUGCCCUUUGGUCACAGGAUCAGUGCCUCUGUCCCUGUUCUCAUGUUGAGCUGGGAGCGAUGCAAGGGACAUUACCCAAAAGCAGCAGCCCCUGAGGCAAAGCCCCAAGCACUGUUCCUUCACCCUGGGGAAGGGGCACGCUCAUCUUUUCUCCAUUACUAAUACUUUUGAAGCAAUACACCAUCGCUCCAGCAGGAGACCCACCUCCCUGAUGCCUCCACACAUAGCCAAAGAUCUGCUCCAUUCAUCAGCCUGAGAUUGAUGAGGUGCAAAGGGCUCUGGUUACCCUGCUGCCCCCUCCCUUCUCCCCAUGGCUGGGUGAAUGAGUUGCUGCUGGCUCCUCUGAUAUCAGAAGUAGAGAGCCCAGGGGAGAGCAAAGUCCUCAUUCCACCAAACUCAUCUCCCUAAGUCCUUACCAGAUAUUAUCCUUAAAGAUAUUUCAUCAUGACACCCCUUGCACCCCACAGAAGCAGGAGGGAAACCCUAUUGCCUGCAGAGGCUGAGCCUGUGUCACAUCAGCCCCUCUGCACAGCCCAGCCUUGCUCAUGUGAGACACUCCAGAAAUAGAAAAGGGAUUGAAGGUUUCAGCUAUUCUGCAUUCCUCCGGCCCCGGUGGCUCUGCCUGGCAGUGGGCUCUGUUCUCCCAUCCUUCUCCUAAAUCACUCUUGCCCUCACUACCAUUUCCCUGUCCCUCAUAUCUGGCUUUCCCAUUACUUUGUCCGUUCACUAUGAAAUUUUAGGGACUAAUAUGGAUGUAAGAGGCCAUGACUUCAGAUUUACUAGGAGCAAGUGAGUUUUUGCACCAGAAGGGCAGAUUGCUGACAGGCGUUGGCAUCCAUCCAUUUGUGGGCUUAUGGGGCUGAUGCUGCACAGGGUCCUGGGGCACUCCUGCGAUUGCCUCCUCUCUGUGCAGUCAGCCACAGUGCAACACUGCUCCUUUCCCCCAUUUGUGUCCUGACCACAUCCACAAGCCUUUAAGUCGGUGCAGAGGAACUGAGGGCGGCAGGUUAGCAAGAAUUACCCCUCUCCAAGCACAGAGGCAUGGUGCUGGGGGAGCAGGCAGCAGUGCAUGGUCUAGAAGAAAUGUGGCAGCAGCCCCAGGGGAUGGCAGGCAGCACAGACCUGUUGAAGGCAUACCGAUGGAGCUCUGAUUGUUGCAUGAACACAGCCCAGGUGGCUUGGUGCUGACACAUGGCUCCCAGAGCAUCGCUGUGUUUGGGAUGAGGCUUUAACAGCAGCACAACAGCACUGUCUGCAAUCUGCACCCCACAGCUGGCACACAGACUCUGCCAACCAGUUUCUGGUUGGUGAUGUUCUGUUUUCUUCCCUUGCUGGUAAUCCUGGGGGCACUCAGCACCACCAGCACUUUGUGCAGAGGCCAGGGCAGCCCUGAGUUCCCAGAGAGCCCAGAUCCUGCAGGCACUGACAGUGUGAGGCAUCCCAGGUUGGAGCCUGGCUCACCUCCUCCUCCACGUCUGGGGCUCUGACGGAUCA